AAUUCGCCCUUGAGCACGUAGGUGGGUUUGUAAGUCAGGUGUGAAAGCCUUCUGUUCAACGGGAGAAUUGCAUCUGAAACUACGAAUCUUGAGUGUAGGAGGGGAGAAUGGAACUUCUGGUGGAGCGGUGAAAUGCGUAGAUAUCAGAAGGAACGCCGGCGGCGAAAGCGAUUCUCUGGCCUAUUACUGACACUCAGUGUGCGAAAGCUAGGGGAGCAAACGGGAUUAGAUACCCCGGUAGUCCUAGCCGUAAACGAUGGGCACUAAGUAGAGGGGAUUACCGACGUUCUCUCUGCCGUAGCUAACGCAUUAAGUGCCCCGCCUGGGGAGUACGGCCGCAAGGCUAAAACUCAAGAGAAUUGACGGGGGCUCGCACAAGCGGUGGAGCAUGUGGCUUAAUUCGAUGCAACGCGAAAAACCUUACCGGGGCUUGACAUGUUAGAAGUAGGAACCUGAAAGGGUAACGAACGGUAUCCAGUCCGUAGCUAUCACAGGUGUUGCAUGGCUGUCGUCAGCUCGUGUCGUGAGACGUUGGGUUAAGUCCCCUAACGAGCGAAACCCUUGUUUUUAGUUACCAGCGGGUUGUGCCGGGUACUCUAGAAAGACUGCCGUCGUCAAGACGGAGGAAGGUGGGGAUGACGUCAAGUCAUCAUGGCCCUUAUGCCCCGGGCUGCACACGCGCUACAAUGGUCGGUACAAACGGAAGCGAAGCCGAGAGGUGAAGCGAAUCCAAGGGCGAAUU
rnacentral:rRNA from 1 species